rnacentral:lncRNA from 1 species
AGAGGUCCUUCCGGGAGUCCAGCUGACACAGGUCUCGGCCAGGGCUCUACCUGCGCUCAGGAUUGGAAAAGCUGUGCGCAAUGAGAGGCGCGUUGGUUCUCCGCAACGGGGAGCAGAAACCGGCCUGGGUCAGCCAGUGGACUGGUUGGAAGCAGAGAACUGAAAGAAAACCAACACCCUAGUGAGGCCAAGGGAAGUUUUCCAGUUUCAUGAAGUCCCAUUUAUCAAUUCUUGAUCUUAGAGCCUGAGCCAUUGGAGUUCUGAUCAGGAAAUGUUCCCUUGUGCCAAGGAGUUCAAGGCUCUUUCCCACCUUUUCUUCUAUUGGAUUCAGUGUAUCUGGUUUUGUGUUGAGGUCCUUGAUCCACUUGUGUUGGGAGCCGCGCCCACAUUCGCCGUUACAAGAUGGCGCUGACAUCCUGUGUUCUAAGUGGUAAACAAAUAAUCUGCGCAUGUGCCAAGGGUUUUUAUGACUACUUGUGCUCUGCCUUCCCCGUGACGUCAACUCGGCCGAUGGGCUGCAGCCAAUCAGGGAGUGACACGUCCUAGGCGAAAUAUAACUCUCCUAAAAAAGGGACGGGGUUUCGUUUUCUCUCUCUCUUGCUUCUUGCACUCCUGCUCCUGAAGAUGUAAGCAAUAAAGUUUUGCCGCAGAAGAUUUUGGUCUGUGGUGUUCUUCCUGGCCGGUCGUGAGAACGCGUCUAAUAACAAUUGGUGCCGAAUUCCGGGACGAGAAAAAACUCGGGACUGGCGCAAGGAAGAUCCCUCAUUCCAGAACCAGAACUGCGGGUCGCGGUAAUAAAGGUUCCCGUAAAGCAGACUGUUAAGAAGGAUUCAACUGUAUGAAUUCAGAACUUUUCAGCUGGGGAACGAGAGUACCAGUGAGUACAGCUUUACGAGGUAAGUCUGGUCUUGAACUUUCUAAGGAAAUUCAAGACAGUCUAUCAGAAGUAAAGUGGAAUAUGUUUGGCCUUGAAUUUUUUUCUGGUGUUAGGAGCCCUUUUGUUCCUUUUCACAUGUUAUCAAGUGAUUAAGAUAGGGCUGAAAAUUCUAGAGGAAAUUCAGGACAAGCUAUCAGAAGUAAAGCGGGGAGAGAGAGUAGGAACAAAGAGGAAAUAUGGUACACAAAAUAAGUAUACAGGCCUUUCCAAGGGUCUUGAACCCGAGGAAAAGUUAAGGUUAGGUAGGAAUACCUGGAGAGAGAUUAGAAGAAAAAGAGGAAAAAGGGAAAAGAAGAAAGAUCAAUUAGCGGAGGUCUCUAGGAAAAGGAGCCUGUGCUCAUCGCUGGAUGGGCUCGGGGAGCCAGCUCUUAGUAGCUCUGAAGCAGAUGAAGAAUUCUCCUCUGAAGAAACAGACUGGGAGGAAGAAGCAGCUCAUUAUGAGAAAAAAGGGUACCAGCCAGGUAAAGUGCUAGCUAAUCAGUUAAGGAAGCCAAAAGCGGCUGGCGAAGGCCAGUUUGCUGAUUGGCCUCAGGGCAGUCGGCUUCAAGGUCCGCCCUAUGUGGAGUCCCCGCCCUGCGUAGUGCGUCAGCCCUGCGCAGAGAGGCAGUGCGCAGACUCAUUCAUUCCCAGAGAGGAACAAAGGAAAAUACAAAAGGCAUAUCCUUUUCUACUUAAAACUUUAAGUCAGUGGGGUUUACAGAUAGCCACAGAAAAGGUCCAAAUUUCUGAUACAGGACAAUUCUUGGGCUCUGUGGUGUCCCCAGAUAAGAUUGUGCCCCAAAAGGUAGAGAGAAGAAGAGAUCACCUCCAUACCUUAAAUGAUUUUCAAAAGCUGUUGGGAGAUAUUAAUUGGCUCAGACCUUUUUUAAAGAUUCCUUCCGCUGAGUUAAGGCCUUUGUUUGGUAUUUUAGAAGGAGAUCCUCAUAUCUCCUCCCCUAGGACUCUUACUCUAGCUGCUAACCAGGCCUUACAAAAGGUGGAAAAAGCCUUACAGAAUGCACAAUUACAACGUAUUGAGGAUUCGCAGCCUUUCAGUUUGUGUGUCUUUAAGACAGCACAAUUGCCAACCGCAGUUUUGUGGCAGAAUGGGCCAUUGUUGUGGAUCCAUCCAAACGUAUCCCCAGCUAAAAUAAUAGAUUGGUAUCCUGAUGCAAUUGCACAGCUUGCCCUUAAAGGCCUAAAAGCAGCAAUCACCCACUUUGGGCAAAGUCCAUAUCUUUUAAUUGUACCUUAUACCGCUGCACAGGUUCAAACCUUGGCAGCCACAUCUAAUGAUUGGGCAGUUUUAGUUACCUCCUUUUCAGGAAAAAUAGAUAACCAUUAUCCAAAACAUCCAAUCUUACAGUUUGCCCAAAAUCAAUCUGUUGUUUUUCCACAAAUAACAGUAAGAAACCCACUUAAAAAUGGGAUUGUGGUAUAUACUGAUGGAUCAAAAACUGGCAUAGGUGCCUAUGUGGCUAAUGGUAAAGUGGUAUCCAAACAAUAUAAUGAAAAUUCACCUCAAGUGGUAAAAUGUUUAGUGGUUUUAGAAGUUUUAAAAACCUUUUUAGAACCCCUUAAUAUUGUGUCAGAUUCCUGUUAUGUGGUUAAUGCAGUAAAUCUUUUAGAAGUGGCUGGAGUGAUUAAGCCUUCCAGUAGAGUUGCCAAUAUUUUUCAGCAAAUACAAUUAGUUUUGUUAUCUAGAAGAUUUCCUGUUUAUAUUACUCAUGUUAGAGCCCAUUCAGGCCUACCUGGCCCCAUGGCUCUGGGAAAUGAUUUGGCAGAUAAGGCCACUAAAGUGGUGGCUGCUGCCCUAUCAUCCCCGGUAGAGGCUGCAAGAAAUUUUCAUAACAAUUUUCAUGUGACGGCUGAAACAUUACGCAGUCGUUUCUCCUUGACAAGAAAAGAAGCCCGUGACAUUGUUACUCAAUGUCAAAGCUGCUGUGAGUUCUUGCCAGUUCCUCAUGUGGGAAUUAACCCACGCGGUAUUCGACCUCUACAGGUCUGGCAAAUGGAUGUUACACAUGUUUCUUCCUUUGGAAAACUUCAAUAUCUCCAUGUGUCCAUUGACACAUGUUCUGGCAUCAUGUUUGCUUCUCCGUUAACCGGAGAAAAAGCCUCACAUGUGAUUCAACAUUGUCUUGAGGCAUGGAGUGCUUGGGGGAAACCCAGACUCCUUAAGACUGAUAAUGGACCAGCUUAUACGUCUCAAAAAUUCCAGCAGUUCUGCCGUCAGAUGGACGUGACCCACCUGACUGGACUUCCAUACAACCCUCAAGGACAGGGUAUUGUUGAGCGUGCGCAUCGCACCCUCAAAGCCUAUCUUAUAAAACAGAAGAGGGGAAUUGAAGAGAUUUUACCCCGAGCACCAAGAGUGUCGGUGUCUUUGGCACUCUUUACACUCAAUUUUUUAAAUAUUGAUGCUCAUGGCCAUACUGCGGCUGAACGUCAUUGUUCAGAGCCAGAUAGGCCCAAUGAGAUGGUUAAAUGGAAAAAUGUCCUUGAUAAUAAAUGGUAUGGCCCGGAUCCUAUUUUGAUAAGAUCCAGGGGAGCUAUCUGUGUUUUCCCACAGAAUGAAGACAACCCAUUUUGGAUACCAGAAAGACUCACCCGAAAAAUCCAGACUGACCAAGGGAAUACUGAUGUCCAUCGUCUUGGUGAUGUCCAGGGCGUCAAUAAUAAAGAGAGAGCAGCGUUGGGGGAUAAUGUCGACAUUUCCACUCCCAAUGACGGUGAUGUAUAAUGCUCAAGUAUUCUCCUGCCUUUUUACACUAACUAGGAACUGGGUUUAGCCUUGAUUCAGACAGCCUUGGCUCUGUCUGGACAGGUCCAGACAACUGACACCAUUAACACUUUGUCAGCCUCAGUGACUACAGUCAUAGAUGAACAGGCCUCAGCUAAUGUCAAGAUACAGAGAGGUCUCAUGCUGGUUAAUCAACUCAUAGAUCUUGUCCAGAUACAACUAGAUGUAUUAUGACAAAUAACUCAGCAGGGAUGUGAACAAAAGUUUCCGGGAUUGUGUGUUAUUUCCAUUCAGUAUGUUAAAUUUACUAGGGCAGCUAAUUUGUCAAAAAGUCUUUUUCAGUAUAUGUUACAGAAUUGGAUGGCUGAAUUUGAACAGAUCCUUCGGGAAUUGAGACUUCAGGUCAACUCCACGCGCUUGGACCUGUCCCUGACCAAAGGAUUACCCAAUUGGAUCUCCUCAGCAUUUUCUUUCUUUAAAAAAUGGGUGGGAUUAAUAUUAUUUGGAGAUACACUUUGCUGUGGAUUAGUGUUGCUUCUUUGAUUGGUCUGUAAGCUUAAGGCCCAAACUAGGAGAGACAAGGUGGUUAUUGCCCAGGCGCUUGCAGGACUAGAACAUGGAGCUCCCCCUGAUAUAUGGUUAUCUAUGCUUAGGCAAUAGGUCGCUGGCCACUCAGCUCUUACAUCUCACGAGGCUAGACUCAUUGCACGGGAUAGAGUGAGUGUGCUUCAGCAGCCCGAGAGAGUUGCACGGCUAAGCACUGCAAUAGAAAGGCUCUGCGGCAUAUAUGAGCCUAUUCUAGGGAGACAUGUCAUCUUUCAAGAAGGUUGAGUGUCCAAGUGUCCUUCUCUCCAGGCAAAACGACACGGGAGCAGGUCAGGGUUGCUCUGGGUAAAAGCCUGUGAGCCUAAGAGCUAAUCCUGUACAUGGCUCCUUUACCUACACACUGGGGAUUUGACCUCUAUCUCCACUCUCAUUAAUAUGGGUGGCCUAUUUGCUCUUAUUAAAAGGAAAGGGGGAGAUGUUGGGAGCCGCGCCCACAUUCGCCGUUACAAGAUGGCGCUGACAUCCUGUGUUCUAAGUGGUAAACAAAUAAUCUGCGCAUGUGCCAAGGGUUUUUAUGACUACUUGUGCUCUGCCUUCCCCGUGACGUCAACUCGGCCGAUGGGCUGCAGCCAAUCAGGGAGUGACACGUCCUAGGCGAAAUAUAACUCUCCUAAAAAAGGGACGGGGUUUCGUUUUCUCUCUCUCUUGCUUCUUGCACUCCUGCUCCUGAAGAUGUAAGCAAUAAAGUUUUGCCGCAGAAGA